CUAAAUUGGAAGUAACCCUUAUCUGGACAUGUUCUGUAAACAUGUUUUGAAGCUUUUUGAAAGGAAUAACCUGGUCGUUGUCUCAAUGGCAUUCUACUGAAGUGUAAAGUGCUCCACACUACAUAAUUUGGGUGUGAUUAUUUGCACUGAAAGGAUUUAACCUAGCAUCCUUCCUUUACUAAAUAGGUAGCCCCUGAUUUCUGCAAGUGUUACUGCAAACUGCACCAUAAAUCAGUAAGAGGAGGUCAUCUUUUUCAGUAGGAAAUAAUUAUAUUUGCAAUAAGCAUUUGGCAAUUUGUAAACUAAGUAUACCCAACUGCAUGUCAUCAAAGAUACAUUGGUCCCUAGAUGAAUCAUUAAAAAUACUGAAAUUAUGUGCCAAGUCCUAUAAAGGGGCAAAAGCAUAUGACACAUUUUAAUUAAGUUAUUCUAAAGUUUAUGGCUGUCACCCAGCUAUACAGCUAUUGUAAUUGGAUAUUUAAUCUAAGGCCAAUAUAUUGUCUAUAAUGAGCAUCAGUCAAAAAUUUGGUUACCACUUGCCAGCUUGGAAGGUAGAAGAGUACUCUGGGGAUGGCUGAAGAUGACCUACUGUCUUUAAAGAAGCAGUUUAAGAAAGUCUGAACUAAUGCUUUCUUUUUUCUCAUGCCUCAUAAGAAGCUAAGGCAUUUGAUAUCGUUCCAUUUACCACAGGUUAGGGUUGUAAUUGGCUUAAUAAUUGUUGGUGAUGAUUGUGAUGUUUCUUCAAGAGAGAGGGACUUAUUAGCAGCUAACAACAGCAAAAACCCUUCAUGAUUAUUAAUUUAAAUCUCUAAGUCCUUUGGAUUUUUAUUAGUAUACCAUAUGAUUGCCAAAUCCUAUUUGUGUGCUGAUUUUACUUAUUUUAUAUGUGCAUUUCUGUGUUUAUAUUGUCACUACCCUUGUCAUUUCCAGUGGCUGUACAGCAUUCUUUCCUGAUAAUACACCAUACCAAUCCCUCACUUGAAUUGUUUUGAUUUUUCUUCAUAAUUAAUAGUACUACUAUGAACAGUUUUAUACAGUCUACAAUUUUUUUCAUUUUAUAUUUUUCCCUUGGACCACAUUCCCCAAAGUGGAAUUACCAGGUCCAAAAGUGCAGCUAGAACCAUAGCCUGUCUUACUUAUUGUUAGUGCUUUUCAGAAAGAUCAAAUUUGUGGUACUAUCAGCACUGUAGAGUUGAAGUGUAAUUAUUUCCGUACAUUCUGGGCAACACUGGAUUUUAUGAUUUUAUCCCCUUUUUCUUCUCUGAAAGGUAUAUUGUGAUACCUUCAGGUUAUUCUAAUUUGAAUUUUCUUUCAUUGCAAGUGAGGCUGUGUAUUUUAGUGCUUUCAUCUUUUUCUUUAAGUGGUUCCAUCUUCAAGGACUGUAGAGACCAGCUCAUACAUUCUUAAUGUAUUUUGGCUGGCAGGCUUUGAACAGCUAUGGUAGGCACCUUUCCUCCCUGGUAUUCAUUCACCUUUUGAUAUUUAGUUCACUAGACAAAAAAGCAUUUUUUAAAAUGAGGACUAAUUUUAUUUGAAGCUAGAAAUGCAACCACAGAAACAGACCCAAGCAGUGACAUCAGGAAAUAGUAGCUGUUGAAUACCAUGUUCCCAUUCUCUCUCUCCUUCAUUCUCAUCUCCCUCCCUCUCUCUUUUAUGCCUUUUUGAGGGAGGCUAUUCACUUAGACUUCUUUCUAAAGUCAUACAAUAAUACACUGUCAUCCAUAGACUGUCUGGGGAAGGAUACUUGAUCCAGUGAUAGUAGAGAACGCUUCUGGAGAGGAGAGGGGAAGAGCCUUACUUUUCACUGUACCUUUUGUCACUUUUCAGUUCUGAACUAGAGUUGUAUUACUUUUUAAUAAAAACAAAUUAAAGCC